GGCGAGAUGGCCGAGCGGUCUAAGGCGCUGUGUUAAGGUUCUUCCUCUCUUUCCUCUGAGAGCUCGGAUGCUCCUCCGCAGUCUUCGGACGUGGGUUCGAAUCCCACUCUCGUCA
rfam:Trichosporon asahii var. asahii CBS 8904 unplaced genomic scaffold scaffold00105, whole genome shotgun sequence.